rnacentral:tRNA from 3 species
GCGCCUGUAGCUCAGUUGGAUAGAGCAUCCGCCUUCUAAGCGGAGGGCCAGGGGUUCGAAUCCCUUCAGGCGCGCCA